UUCUAUUAGAAAUAACAUUAAUAGUAAAAUCUGCUCAAUGAUAAAUUAAAUAGCCGCAUUCGUGCUAAGGUAGCAUAAUAAUUUGUCUUUUAAUUGAAGACUAGAAUAAAAGAUUUAACUUUUAAAUUCAUUUCUUACAUUUAUAUAUAUAAAUUAUUCUAAAUGUAAAAAAACAUUUAUAAAAAAGAAAGACGAUAAGACCCUAUUGAACUUCACUUUAGUUUUAACUGGGGCAGUUAAUUAAUUAUAAUUUUAAUUUUAAUUAAUUCUAUAAACUUGACCUAAUAAAAUUAAUCUAUUAAUCAAGUUACCAUAGGGAUAACAGCGUAAUAAAAUUUUAAAGACCUUAUUAAAAAUAUAGAUUGCGACCUCGAUGUUGAAUAAUAUUCUAAUUCACGCAAUAGUCAAUUAAGAAAGUCUGUUCGACUUUUAAAAAAUUACA
rnacentral:rRNA from 1 species